rnacentral:lncRNA from 1 species
GAGCCAUUAAUAAUUUUUUCGUAGAGUAGCCAAGGCUUAAAGCAACUCUUUCAAAAAUGAUUGUGACUUUUAUUUGAAGCUGGGAAUGAGGGGAAGAGACUGGAGGCAGAGGGCUGAUGGAUCCCUGUGGAAUGACAGUUGUCAUUGCAGGCAGGUAAAUUCGCCAAUGCUAAAAGAGGACUCACUUGUGGGGAAAUUGUGAUUUUGUGUUUCUUGCGUAUGACAAGAAAAUGUUGACCACUCCAGACCUCAAGUUUAGGUCUAGAACAGAGGGCUUCUGACCUCAGGCUAACUAGAGUUUUAAGAAUAACACCUCGUGACGUCCCCUCCUUAGCCUGACUCCAGGGUUUCCUGGACUCUGGG